AGUGGUCAAGCAUAAAAAAAUGUAGUAUUUGCAAACAACCGGGACAUACUCGACCUCGUUGUCCAUCUAGACACAAUAGAUAGCAACUAAUUGGUUUGUACACCAUGGAUCCUGGGCCGGUUAGUGAUGAGGUCUUAUAUGACCAGGCUCAACAUCGUUCACAUAUUAUAUCCUGUACAGAGAGAGGUCCGAGUAUCGUUAUGGUUGAUCAUAGCCUCAGCCAUAGCCGUUGGCGGUUAGAGGAUGAGCGUAUCAUAGCAGCUGUGGGACGGGCCGGCUUCUUGACUUGUUCAAAGCUUCGUUGGAUAAAGCUCGAUUGGCCCCUACUGACCGCGUUGAUGGAUAGAUGGAGACCUGAGACCAAUACUUUCCA